ACGCAUGCUGUGCUGUAAUUUAUGAAACUGAGCCCAGGAAGCAAGCAAUCAGUUAGCUCCUCCUAACAAGUCCAACUGGCUACGAAAAGCUGGAAGGGCUGCACAGAACAAUGAAGAGGAGCUAUCCCACGUAUUAAUCUGCUUAUGUAGGAUUGCUUUCUGCGUAGAGGGGGGAAACCCGAAACAAGGCAGGGGCAGAGGGAUCACAGCUUUGCUGUUCAAACAACAGAAUAAUUUCAAUCAG
ensembl:misc_RNA